rnacentral:rRNA from 1 species
GUCUACAGCCAUACCACCCUGAACAAGCCCGAUCUCGUCUGAUCUCAGAAGCUAAGCAGGGUUGGGCCUGGUUAGUACUUGGAUGGGAGACCACCUGGGAAUACCGGGUACUGUAGGCU